CUCUCUUCACUCCCUAGUCUCUUCUAACCACUCUUAUACUGUCGGCUUCUAUGAUAAUAAUGACACAGGAUACUUUUGGUGCUGCUUCGCUAUUGAGAAAUCUUCAUUGCUGGUGGUGCCUGUGCCCACGCUUCGCUUAGGCCUGCUGGGCUCACUCUGCCCAAUCAGCCCAGCAAGCUGGAGUCAACUCAAGCUACUGGCCUGGAUCCCAGGCCCGUCAUGGCUCUGCAUUCAGCCCAUGAAUGGUCUGGAGGACAUGCUGUGACCAGCUUCCACCUUGGGCAUCAGCACCCGGAUGAGGUGGAUGCAGCGGUUCCCAAAAACCUGGAGAUGCUAGCAACCAUGGCACCCCAAGGGGUGUUACAGCUUUUGCUCUGGGAGUCCCGAGGUCUGAGCCCCCAGGAAGUGUUAGCGCUCUUUGUUCCCACUGCCCACAGUUCCGUGAACGGGAGAGUGUGGUGCCCUGUGGUUUUUUCACUCCCAUAGCUUGCCAAGCAGGAGCGAGUGUUACACCUGCUGGUAGAUGUGUUUCUUGUCCCACAACCAGGAGGAAUGAGGUGUGCAGACACUGGAGAAUGAACAAGGCAGAGAAGAAUUUUAUUGAGUGACAGAAGAGCUCUCGAAAAUGAGAGGGAACCCAAACUGGGUAGCCCUCUGUGUGAGAGAGGGCCCGAAAGCAGGCACUAAUUGUAGCUGUUGUUUUGACCACUUUGAUUUUAAACCUUUAUACUGGAGGAUUCAGAGAUUUACAUAUCACCAGUACACCAGUGGGGUAUUCUGAACCUGAUUUAUAAAUUUACCUGUACUGGUGAGUUUUAUACCUUUCUGUGUUUUCAUUAUAGCAAUUAUUAUCCUUUGUCUCCCUUUAUAGCACUUCCUGAAUAAAUGAUUUCAAUCUCUUCUCUCCUGCAAAGUUUUGGCUAGGAAAUUUGCUGAUUGUCUAAUGUGAAUUAUCUUA
rnacentral:lncRNA from 10 species